rnacentral:rRNA from 1 species
AUACGGAGGGUGCAAGCGUUACGCGGAAUCACUGGGCGUAAAGCGCGCGCAGGCGGCUAUUUAAGUUGGAUGUGAAAGCCUAUGGCUCAACCAUAGAACUGCAUCCAAAACUAUUUAGCUAGAGUGUGGGAGAGGAAGAUGGAAUUAGUUGUGUAGGGGUAAAAUCCGUAGAGAUAACUAGGAAUACCAAAAGCGAAGGCAAUCUUCUGGAACACUACUGACGCUGAGGCGCGAAAGCGUGGGGAGCAAACAGGAGUAGAUACCCUAGUAGUCC